rnacentral:rRNA from 1 species
GGGGAAUAUUGCACAAUGGGCGAAAGCCUGAUGCAGCAACGCCGCGUGAAGGAAGAAGGGUUUCGGCUCGUAAACUUCUAUCAACAGGGACGAAAAAAAUGACGGUACCUGAAUAAGAAGCCCCGGCUAACUACGUGCCAGCAGCCGCGGUCAUACGUAGGGGGCAAGCGUUAUCCGGAAUUACUGGGUGUAAAGGGAGAGUAGGCGGCAUGGUAAGUUAGAUGUGAAAGCCCGAGGCUUAACCUCGGGAUUGCAUUUAAAACUAUCAAGCUAGAGUACAGGAGAGGUAAGUGGAAUUCCUAGUGUAGCGGUGAAAUGCGUAGAUAUUAGGAAGAACACCAGUGGCGAAGGCGACUUACUGGACUGAAACUGACGCUGAGGCUCGAAAGCGUGGGGAGCGAAC